rnacentral:tRNA from 1 species
GCCUCCGUAGCUCAGUGGAUAGAGCGGGGGAUUCCUAAUCCCCGUCUCGCGCAGGUUCGAUUCCUGCCGGGGGCACCA